AUUGAACGCUGGCGGCAGGCCUCACACAUGCAAGUCGGGCGAGCGGCGGCCGGGUGAGUAAUGUAUGGGGCCUGCCUGAUGGCGGGGGAUAACUACUGGAAAAGGUAGCUAAUACCGUAUACCAUCAGAUAACCCAUAUGGGUUUAGCUAGUAGGUAGGGUAACGGCUGACCUAGGCGACGAUCCCUUGCUGGUCUGAGAGGAUGAUCCGCGGCCGUGGUCCUAGGUCCCGGCCCAGACUCCGCCGGUGGCAGCAGGGGGGACUAUUGCACAAUGGGCGCAAGCCGGAUGCUGCCAUGCCGCGUGUAUAAAGAGGGCCUACGGGUUGUAAAGUACUUUCAGUCGGGACGCGUUACCGAGAGAAGAAGCACCGGCUAACUCCGGGCCAGCCGCCGCGGUAAUAC
rnacentral:rRNA from 1 species